rnacentral:rRNA from 1 species
AGGUAAUGGCUUACCAAGCCGUUGAUCGGUACGGGUUGUGAGAGCAAGAGCCCGGAGAUGGAACCUGAGACAAGGUUCCAGGCCCUACGGGGUGCAGCAGGCGCGAAACCUCCGCAAUGUGAGAAAUCGCGACGGGGGGAUCCCAAGUGCCAUUCUUAACGGGAUGGCUUUUCAUUAGUGUAAAGAGCUUUUGGAAUAAGAGCUGGGCAAGACCGGUGCCAGCCGCCGCGGUAACACCGGCAGCUCUAGUGGUAACAAUUUUUAUUGGGCCUAAAGCGUCCGUAGCCGGUUUAAUAAGUCUCUGGUGAAAUCCUGUAGCUUAACUGUGGGAAUUGCUGGAGAUACUAUUAGACUUGAGACCGGGAGAGGUUAGAGGUACUCCCAGGGUAGAGGUGAAAUUCUGUAAUCCUGGGAGGACCGCCUGUUGCGAAGGCGUCUAACUGGAACGGUUCUGACGGUGAGGGACGAAAGUUAGGGGCGCGAACCGGAUUAGAUACCCGGGUAGUCCUAACUGUAAACGAUGCGGACUUGGUGUUGGGGUGGCUUUGAGCUGCUUCAGUGCCGAAGGGAAGCUGUUAAGUCCGCCGCCUGGGAAGUACGGUCGCAAGACUGAAACUUAA